GUGUCUAGGAAGUAACUAGCUUGUUUUUGAUUUUACAGGCUCAUAGGUAGAAGGGACUUGCAUCGUCUCAGAGACUUUGGACUUCAGGCUUUUGGGUUAAUGCAGAAAUGAGUUAAGACUUAACGGUGAUUGUUGGGAAGGCAGUACCCCAGGGAGAGGUAAUUGAAUCAUGAGGGCCGGUCUUUCCUGUGCUGUUCUCCUGAUAGUGAAUAAGUCUCGCGAGAUCUGAUGGGUUUAUCAGGGGUUUCCGCUAUUGUUUCGUCCUCAUUUUCUCUUGCUGCUACCAUGGAAGAAGCGACUUUCGCCUCCCGCCGUGAUUCUGAGGCCUUUCCAGCCAUGUCAAACUCAAAAUGUGACUGAAAAACAGAAGCAUUUGGAAUACGUAACAGAAGUCAUUAAAAAGAGCCAUGUAAUAUGUGCCUGCUUCCCCUUCUGCCAUGAUUGUAAGUUUCCUGAUGCCUUCUCAGCCAUGCAGAACUGAAUCCAUUAUUGUUUGCAUUAUCAUUGACGACUGUGAGAAUCUGCAGAAAAAAACAGUAUGGAACUACAACUUCACGUUCUUGAGAAAAGCUUGCAGUGUAAGAUGCGUUUGUUUGUGGUGCCUGAGGAAGAGAGCAGCAGAAAAGAGAGUUGGUAGUGCUGAGCUGCUGAAGGUUCAUUACUGCCUAGCCUUGAGAAUGGAGGCCCCACUGGGUACUCUUCAUAAGAGAUGCCCCAACUCGUCAAAGGAAUUAUGGAGUCUGGAAUUUUGAUAGGUGCUACGCAGAAGGUGCCUUAUGACUAUCCCCUAAUAGAAAUCCUAGGCACUAAAUCCCUAAUGAGCUUCCCUGGUGGACAACAUUUCAUAUAUGUUGUCAAAAGUUGUUGCUGAGGGAAUUAAGCAGAGCCCAUAUGAUUCCACAGGGAAAGGACUUCUAGAAACUUUCAUAGCUGGUUUCCACUGGACAUUGCCACAUAUGACAUUUCCCUUUACUUAUAUGCUUUGCAUCCUUUUACUGUAGUAUAUGAUAGCCAUGAAUAAGACUAUGAGUCCUCCUAGCAAAUCAUCAAACCAGAAGAUUCAUGCGGUUUUUAUAUCAAUGGAUUUCCUAAUAUUGUAUCAACAUCAUAUUCCCAGAAUAAAUCACACUUGAUCAAAAUGUAUC
rnacentral:lncRNA from 10 species